rnacentral:rRNA from 1 species
CCUACGGGAGGCAGCAGUAGGGAAUAUUGCUCAAUGGGGGAAACCCUGAAGCAGCAACGCCGCGUGGGGGAUGAAGGUUUUCGGAUUGUAAAGCCCUUUUGGUAGAGAAGAAAAUGACGGUAUGUAACGAAUAAGCACCGGCUAAUUACGUGCCAGAAGCCGCGGUAAUACGGAGGGAGCAAGCGUUACUCGGAAUCACUGGGCGUAAAGAGGGCGUAGGCGGGUCAGCAAGGCAGAUGUGAAAUCCUAGGGCUUAACCCUAGAACUGCAUUUGAAACUGUUAUUCUAGAGUAUGGGAGAGGUAGGUGGAAGUCUUGGUGUAGCGGUGAAAUCCGUAGAUAUCAAGAGGAAUACUCAUUGCGAAGGCGACCUGCUAGAACAUAACUGACGCUGAUGCGCGAAAGCGUGGGGAGCAAACAGGAUUAGAUACCCGUGUAGUC